CUCGUAGGCGGCCAACUAAGUCACACGUGAAAUCCCUCAGCUUAACUGGGGAACUGCGUGUGAUACUGGAUGGCUUGGAUCCGGGAGAGGGAUGCGGAAUUCCAGGUGUAGCGGUGAAAUGCGUAGAUAUCUGGAGGAACACCGGUGGCGAAGGCGGCAUCCUGGACCGGUAUUGACGCUGAGGAGCGAAAGCCAGGGGAGCGAAAC
rnacentral:rRNA from 1 species